AGGGAUUAAACCCAGGUUUAAUGGGGGUGCGCUGCUCCGCCCUGCGGCGCUCCAACGUCACCCAACGGACCUGGAAUAUGGGGGAUAGACCGGGGUUAAACCGGGGUUAAACUGGGAUUGAACUGGGAUUGAACCAGGGUUAAACCGGGAUUAACCUGGGGUUUAGACCAGGAUUAAAGCAGGGUUAGAGCAGCCUUAAACCGGGAAUUAAAGCAGGCUUGAACUGGGAUUGAACUGGGAUUGAAGCAGGAGUUAACCCGGGAACUGGGAAUGCGCUGCUCCAUCCACACCGUCACUGACCCACCUGGAACGAGGGCUAAACCAGGCUUAAACUGGGAUUAAACUGGGAAUUAUACUGGGAAUAACAGGAAUUGAACUGGGAACUGGGAGUGUCACCAAGCACACCUGGAACUGGGAUUAAACCGGGAAUGGAACUGGGAAUUAAAGCGGGAAUGAAAGCGGGAAUGGGGCUGUUCCCAACGGGAGAGGCGUCCCGGUGCUGCCCUCUGCUGGCCAUGGCGGGAACUGCAGGAAAUCCGGGAAUGGGGAAUAUUCCCAAUGGGAAAAACGUCCCAGUCCUGGCUUGUGUUGGGGAUUGUGGGGAAACUGGGAAUGUGGAUUGUUCCUGGUGUUCCCGUUCCUGGAUUCCUGAGGUUCCCAUUCCCAGAUCCCAAAUGAUCAUUGUUCCCACUGUUCCCAUUCCCACAUUCCCACUGUUCCCAUUGUUCCCAUUCCCACAUUCCCACUGUUCCCAUUCCCAUUCCCACUGUUCCCACUGUUCCCAUUCCCACAUUCCCAUUCCCAAUCCCAAAUUCCCAGAUUAUUCCCAGAUUUAUCCCAUUCCGCACUCACGUCCUUGCUGCGGUGGAAGCCGAUCUGAUCCCAUUCCCAAAUUCCCAGAUUUAUUCCCAAAUUCCCAGAUUUAUCCCCUCACUCACGUCCUUGCUGCGGUGGAAGCCGAUCUGAUCCCAUUCCCAAUCCCCAUUCCCAAAUUCCCAGAUUUAUUCCCAAAUUCCCAGAUUAUUCCCCUCACUCACGUCCUUGCUGCGGUGGAAGCCGAUCUGCCCCACGUCCAUGUCGGGCGUUUUGCGCAGGUUGCUCCAGGGCGUGUAAACCACGGUCACCGAGCUCAGCUUGCAGCCUGCAGGAAA
rnacentral:lncRNA from 1 species